rfam:Felis catus isolate Cinnamon breed Abyssinian chromosome E1, whole genome shotgun sequence.
ACCUGGCUGGCUCAGUCGUUAGAGCAUGUGACUCUUGAUCUCAGGGUUGUGAGUUCAUGUCCCACACUGGGUG